UGCAGCAGGCGCGAAACCUCCGCAAUGUGAGAAAUCGCGACGGGGGGAUCCCAAGUGCCAUUCUUAACGGGAUGGCUUUUCAUUAGUGUAAAGAGCUUUUGGAAUAAGAGCUGGGCAAGACCGGUGCCAGCCGCCGCGGUAACACCGGCAGCUCUAGUGGUAGCAAUUUUUAUUGGGCCUAAAGCGUCCGUAGCCGGUUUAAUAAGUCUCUGGUGAAAUCCUGUAGCUUAACUGUGGGAAUUGCUGGAGAUACUAUUAGACUUGAGACCGGGAGAGGUUAGAGGUACUCCCAGGGUAGAGGUGAAAUUCUGUAAUCCUGGGAGGACCGCCUGUUGCGAAGGCGUCUAACUGGAACGGUUCUGACGGUGAGGGACGAAAGUUAGGGGCGCGAACCGGAUUAGAUACCCGGGUAGUCCUAACCGUAAACGAUGCGGACUUGGUGUUGGGGUGGCUUUGAGCUGCUCCAGUGCCGAAGGGAAGCUGUUAAGUCCGCCGCCUGGGAAGUACGGUCGCAAGACUGAAACUUAA
rnacentral:rRNA from 1 species